GAGCAGCUUUGGAACUGGAUUUCUGGAUUUUCAAGGUGAAAAUGGGCUGUAUCUACUCUCUGGUGGGUUUAAGGUUACUGCCUCACAAAGGAGGGUGGUACAGUCGUCUUGGUCAGGGCUUUGGUAAAGCCCAUUAAGGCAAAGCUAUUUCCUAGUUCAAGGAAGGACUCAACCUCUAGCCUUUUGUGCAGGACACUUGGUAUUCUGACUAGCUCUAAGGACAGAACCGUCACUCACCAUUGUACCUACCUUUAAGAAUCAAUCCAUUUUCAACUGCCAAUGGCCUAGCCAACAGAACGCCUAUCAGGAAGACCAGGCUGCCAAUCUUCUGGUGAGGAUGCCAUCACUCAGGAAGAAAGAACGGUUCAUCUAAACUGUACUGUGGACAUGGAAGGAAAUCGUCUCUUCAAUGAGGCAUGCACAACUAUGGCUGGAUUUUUUACAAGUGCUGGCAAUCUGAACUAAGGUCUUCAAGCCUACAAAAAACAUUAGUAAGAUUCCAGCCCUUUCUACAAAACCGUGAUUAUUGCAAACUGGGUGAAAGAACACAGCACACUGAAGCAUGUGGCACCUAAUCCACAGAAGGACAAGCACCGAGUCGACACUUACAGGCUUCUACCCCAAUGAUGCAUUUCCAUGGUGCCUUUUGCCAUGGUGCUCAGAACUUCAAGCAGAUCUAUUUGUCUAAUAACAAGUGCAUAUGUAGGAAAAGAGUUCUUCAUGGCUCAUACCUUUUCAGAUGUUUGUUGUUGACAAAUUGUAAGAAAUAUAUAACAUUUUAAAUUUCUAUAUCUUCUUAUGCACUAAAAAGGGAAAUCUUCCAUCAUAACCCCACUGCACAGGCACAGCAUUAAUCUCUUACAAGUUCCUCUUAUACAUGAGUUCCAACUCAUUUAAAGAUACAUAAAUAUUCUAAACAAAACCCAUGAUUUCUUUACUCUCUCCAAACUCUUAACAAAUCUGUUGCAAUAGAAAGCUAUCUCUACCAUUAAGAUUAUUAAUAUAUAUUGAGUAUUUCCAAUUAUUUCCUACAUCAUCCUUAAAUCCAAGUGUCAAAUAUCAUAAUUUGAGAGUAAAUGUAGAAACCACUCUGUCAACCCCUUGGUCCUGCCAAGGCUCAAUGUACCAGUGUAGGGGAAUGUCAGGGCAGGGAGGUAGGACGGGG
ensembl:lncRNA LOC120095547 uncharacterized LOC120095547